rnacentral:rRNA from 1 species
GAUGAACGCUGGCGGCGUGCCUAAUACAUGCAAGUCGAGCGAACAGACGAGGAGCUUGCUCCUCUGACGUUAGCGGCGGACGGGUGAGUAACACGUGGAUAACCUACCUAUAAGACUGGGAUAACUUCGGGAAACCGGAGCUAAUACCGGAUAAUAUAUUGAACCGCAUGGUUCAAUAGUGAAAGACGGUUUUGCUGUCACUUAUAGAUGGAUCAGCGCCGCAUUAGCUAGUUGGUAAGGUAACGGCUUACCAAGGCAACGAUGCGUAGCCGACCUGAGAGGGUGAUCGGCCACACUGGAACUGAUACACGGUCCAGACUCCUACGGGAGGCAGCAGUAGGGAAUCUUCCGCAAUGGGCGAAAGCCUGACGGAGCAACGCCGCGUGAGUGAUGAAGGUCUUCGGAUCGUAAAACUCUGUUAUUAGGGAAGAACAAAUGUGUAAGUAACUAUGCACGUCUUGACGGUACCUAAUCAGAAAGCCACGGCUAACUACGUG